rnacentral:rRNA from 8 species
UCUGGUGGCGAUAGCGAAGAGGUCACACCCGUUCCCAUACCGAACACGGAAGUUAAGCUCUUUAGCGCCGAUGGUAGUUGGGACUUUGUCCCUGUGAGAGUAGGACGUUGCCAGGC